GCAUUUUUUGUUAAUUGAUUGCUCCUUUUCUUCUCUCUCUCAGAACUUCCACCGGUCACCGUACCACCACCCUUCUACCAUGUCCUACCACCCUCUCACCACCAGACCCUCCAUUCACACAACUACCAUCCUCCUCGCAACCACCGGCGCCAAUGUUCAAUUCGUUUUAGAUCUGGAAAACGACGUGAUAAGAUCUCGUCUCCUCCGCCGCCAAUCAGAUCUUGUCUUCUCCGCCUACAACCACUGUCAUCCUCUAGGACCACCGUCUACUGCAACCCACUAGGUCCGGCAAUGUUGUGAGAGAGUGUUCGCCGGUGAGAUCAGGAGGGCGACAUCGAUGAGAACGGUUGCCGGUGAGAGAAAAAGAAAAUUGCAGGAGGACUGUAAAAAAGAAGAGGGAAAGGAAUGAUGUUUCCAGAUGAGAGUGAGAAGAGAGAUCGUACAGUGUGAGAGAAGGG
rnacentral:lncRNA from 1 species